AGCAUACGCAAUCUUCUCAUUAUAUUUGUAUUCAAAAAAAAAAACAAAAAAAAAAAUUCACAAUAACUAUUCAAUUCAAAACAUCAAUAUUAUGAUUUGAAUUCUCCAAACAUAAACAGUAGAUAAAAUUUAACAUAAAGCAACAAAUCAAUGAAUGAACAACAAAUCAGCCAAGUUUGUAUGAGGGGUUAGCAAUGUUGACUGAACAGUAUUUUUAUCAGAUACCAACCAUUCCCAUUACUUCUUAUCACUUCAUCACCUUCUUCUAAUAAGAAAAAAAAAAACUAUGGGAAUGGAGAAAAAACUAAAGGAAUGGGUGGUAUCGGAAAAAAUAGUGUAAAAACUAUGGGAAUGGGUGGUAUCGGAAAAAAUAGUGUUCAGUCGUAGAGAACUAGA
rnacentral:lncRNA from 1 species